rnacentral:tmRNA from 1 species
AGAAACACGCAAAUGCAAACAAGAAGAGGUUUAAGUUAACAUCUAAUGACAGUUGUUACACAUUAGAACAAAGAAUCAGACUCUAAAGUUUCUUCUUUAAUAUAUGCGUAGUGUAUUGGAAAAGCUAGUGUAAGAUUAAGCAUGUAGAACUAACCGAGCUUUACUUUUGGACGUGGGUUCGAUUCCCACCAUCUCCACAU